rnacentral:rRNA from 1 species
GAUGAACGCUGGCGGCGUGCCUAAUACAUGCCAGUCGAGCGAACGGACGAGAAGCUUGCUUCUCUGAUGUUAGCGGCGGACGGGUGAGUAACACGUGGAUAACCUACCUAUAAGACUGGGAUAACUUCGGGAAACCGGAGCUAAUACCGGAUAAUAUUUUGAACCGCAUGGUUCAAAAGUGAAAGACGGUCUUGCUGUCACUUAUAGAUGGAUCCGCGCUGCAUUAGCUAGUUGGUAAGGUAACGGCUUACCAAGGCAACGAUGCAUAACCGACCUGAGAGGGUGAUCGGCCACACUGGAACUGAGACACGGUCCAGACUCCUACGGGAGGCAGCAGUAGGGAAUCUUCCGCAAUGGGCGAAAGCCUGACGGAGCAACGCCGCGUGAGUGAUGAAGGUCUUCGGAUCGUAAAACUCUGUUAUUAGGGAAGAACAUAUGUGUAAGUAACUGUGCACAUCUUGACGGUACCUAAUCAGAAAGCCACGGCUAACUACGUG